rnacentral:rRNA from 1 species
AUUGCUCAGUAACACGUGGACAACCUGCCCUGAGGACUGGAAUAAUCCCGGGAAACUGGGGGUAAUUCCAGAUAUGUCAGAACUCCUGGAAUGGGUUCUGGCAGAAAGGCUCCGGCGCCUCAGGAUGGGUCUGCGGCCUAUCAGGGUAGUAGUGGGUGUAACGUACCUACUAGCCUACGACGGGUACGGGUUGUGAGAGCAAGAGCCCGGAGAUGGAUUCUGAGACAUGAAUCCAGGCCCCACGGGGUGCAGCAGGCGCGAAAACUUUACAAUGCGGGCAACCGCGAUAAGGGGACCUCGAGUGCUGGGUUACAAACCUGGCUGUUGGGCUGCCUAAAAAGCAGUCUAUAGCAAGGGCCGGGCAAGACCGGUGCCAGCCGCCGCGGUAACACCGGCGGCUCGAGUGGUAACCGCUAUUAUUGGGUCUAAAGGGUCUGUAGCCGGCCGACUAAGUCUCUUGGGAAAUCUGGCAUCUCAAGUGUCAGGCUGCCAGGGGAUACUGGUCGGCUUGGGACCGGGAGAGGUGAGAGGUACCUCGGGGGUAGGGGUGAAAUCUUGUAAUCCUCGAGGGACCACCAGUGGCGAAGGCGUCUCACCAGAACGGAUCCAACGGCAAGGGACGAAAGCUAGGGGCACGAACCGGAUUAGAUACCCGGGUAG